CCUACGGGGCGCUGCAGUGAGGAAUAUUGGUCAAUGGGCGGAAGCCUGAACCAGCCAAGUAGCGUGCGGGAUGAAGGCCCUACGGGUCGUAAACCGCUUUUGCACGGGGAUAACACCCUCCACUUGUGGAGGUCUGCAGGUACCGUGCGAAUAAGGGCCGGCUAAUUCCGUGCCAGCAGCCGCGGUAAUACGGAAGGCCCGAGCGUUAUCCGGAUUCAUUGGGCUUAAAGGGAGCGUAGGCGGGCGUUCAAGUCAGCUGUAAAAUCGCGCGGCUCAACCGCGCCCCGCAGUUGAAACUGGACGCAUUGAGUUCACAACAGGCAGGCGGAAUUCGUGGUGUAGCGGUGAAAUGCAUAGAUAUCACGAGGAACCCCGAUUGCGAAGGCAGCCUGCCGGGGUGCGACUGACGCUGAGGCUCGAAGGUGCGGGUAUCAAACAGAAUUAGAUACCCGAGUAGUC
rnacentral:rRNA from 1 species